rnacentral:rRNA from 1 species
CUACGAAAGGUUCAAGCGUUAAUCGGGUUUACUGGGCGUAAAGAGAGUGUAGGUUGUUUAUUAAGUCGGAUGUGAAAUCCCGGGGCUCAACCUCGGAACUGCAUUCGAUACUGGUAGACUAGAGUUCGGGAGGGGUAAGCGGAAUUCCGUGUGUAGCAGUGAAAUGCGUAGAUAUACGGAGGAACACCUGAGGCGAAGGCGGCUUACUGGACCGAUACUGACACUGAGACUCGAAAGCGUGGGUAGCAAACAGGAUUAGAAACCCGAGUAGUCC